rnacentral:tRNA from 2 species
AGGGGUAUAGCUCAGCUGGCAGAGCGUCGGUCUCCAAAACCGAGCGUCGAGGGUUCAAAUCCUUCUACCCCUGCCA